CAAGUAAUUAAGUGCAUGUGGUGGAUGCCUUGGCAGUCAGAGGCGAUGAAAGACGUGAUAGCCUGCGAAAAGCUCCGGGGAGGCGGCAAAUAUCCUUUGAUCCGGAGAUGUCUGAAUGGGGGAACCCACCUACUUUAAGGUAGGUAUUGCAACAUGAAUACAUAGUGUUGCAAGGCGAACGAGGGGAAGUGAAACAUCUCAGUACCCUUAGGAAAAGAAAUCAAUUGAGAUUCCCUCAGUAGCGGCGAGCGAACGGGGAUCAGCCCAUUAAGUUAUGUGUGUUUUAGUGGAACGCUCUGGGAAGUGCGAACGUAGAGGGUGAUAUUCCCGUACACGAAAGGGCACACAUAAUGAUGACGAGUAGGGCGAGGCACGUGAAACCUUGUCUGAAUAUGGGGGGACCAUCCUCCAAGGCUAAAUACUCCUGACUGACCGAUAGUGAACCAGUACCGUGAGGGAAAGGCGAAAAGAACCCCUGUGAGGGGAGUGAAAUAGAUCCUGAAACCGCAUGCAUACAAGCAGUGGGAGCACCUUCGUGGUGUGACUGCGUACCUUUUGUAUAAUGGGUCAGCGACUUAUAUUCAGUAGCGAGGUUAACCGUAUAGGGGAGCCGUAGAGAAAUCGAGUCUUAAUAGGGCGUUUAGUUGCUGGGUAUAGACCCGAAACCAGGCGAUCUAUCCAUGAGCAGGUUGAAGGUUGGGUAACACUAACUGGAGGACCGAACCCACUGUCGUUGAAAAGCCAGGGGAUGACUUGUGGAUAGGGGUGAAAGGCUAAUCAAGCCUGGUGAUAGCUGGUUCUCCCCGAAAGCUAUUUAGGUAGCGCCUCGGACGAAUACCAUAGGGGGUAGAGCACUGUUUCGGCUAGGGGGUCAUCCCGACUUACCAAACCGAUGCAAACUCCGAAUACCUAUGAGUACUAUCCGGGAGACAGACUGCGGGUGCUAACGUCCGUAGUCAAGAGGAAAACAAUCCAGACCGCCAGCUAAGGCCCCAAAAUCAUAGUUAAGUGGGAAACGAUGUGGGAAGGCAUAGACAGCUAGGAGGUUGGCUUAGAAGCAGCCACCCUUUAAAGAAAGCGUAAUAGCUCACUAGUCGAGUCGGCCUGCGCGGAAGAUGUAACGGGGCUAAAACUAUGUGCCGAAGCUGCGGAUGUAUACUUUGUAUACGUGGUAGGGGAGCGUUCUGUAAGCCGAUGAAGGUGUGUUGAGAAGCAUGCUGGAGGUAUCAGAAGUGCGAAUGCUGACGUGAGUAACGACAAAACGGGUGAAAAACCCGUUCGCCGAAAGACCAAGGGUUCCAGUCCAACGUUAAUCGGGGCUGGGUGAGUCGACCCCUAAGGCGAGGCCGAAAGGCGUAGUCGAUGGGAAAAUGGUUAAUAUUCCAUUACUUCUGUGUAAUGCGAUGAGAGGACGGAGAAGGCUAAAUCAGCCUGGCGUUGGUUGUCCAGGUGAAAGGAUGUAGGCAUGUAUCUUAGGCAAAUCCGGGGUACUCUAUGCUGAGAUCUGAUAGCAAGCUGUACUUGUACAGCGAAGUGGUUGAUGCCAUGCUUCCAGGAAAAGUCUCUAAGCUUCAGUUACACAGGAAUCGUACCCGAAACCGACACAGGUGGUCAGGUCGAGUAGACCAAGGCGCUUGAGAGAACUCUGCUGAAGGAACUAGGCAAAAUGGUACCGUAACUUCGGGAGAAGGUACGCUGUUGUUGGUGAUGGAACUCGCUUCCUGAGCUGACGACAGCCGCAGAAACCAGGCCGCUGCAACUGUUUAUUAAAAACAUAGCACUCUGCAAACACGAAAGUGGACGUAUAGGGUGUGAUGCCUGCCCGGUGCUGGAAGGUUAAUUGAUGGGGUUAGCGUAAGCGAAGCUCUUGAUCGAAGCCCCAGUAAACGGCGGCCGUAACUAUAACGGUCCUAAGGUAGCGAAAUUCCUUGUCGGGUAAGUUCCGACCUGCACGAAUGGCAUAAUGAUGGCGGCGCUGUCUCCAGCAGAGGCUCAGUGAAAUCGAAAUCGCUGUGAAGAUGCAGUGUACCCGCGGCUAGACGGAAAGACCCCGUGAACCUUUACUGCAGCUUGACACUGAACUUUGACCUUACUUGUGUAGGAUAGGUGGGAGGCUUUGAAGCUGGAACGCUAGUUCCAGUGGAGCCGUCCUUGAAAUACCACCCUGGUAAUGUUGAGGUUCUAACUCUGUCCCGUGAUCCGGGACGAGGACCGUGUCUGGUGGGUAGUUUGACUGGGGCGGUCUCCUCCUAAAGAGUAACGGAGGAGUACGAAGGUGCGCUCAGCGUGGUCGGAAAUCACGCGUAGAGUAUAAAGGCAAAAGCGCGCUUAACUGCGAGACCCACAAGUCGAGCAGGUACGAAAGUAGGUCUUAGUGAUCCGGUGGUUCUGUAUGGAAGGGCCAUCGCUCAACGGAUAAAAGGUACUCUGGGGAUAACAGGCUGAUACCGCCCAAGAGUUCAUAUCGACGGCGGUGUUUGGCACCUCUAUGUAGGCUCAUCUCAUCCUGGGGCUGAAGCAGGUCCCAAGGGUAUGGCUGUUCGCCAUUUAAAGAGGUACGCGAGCUGGGUUUAGAACGUCGUGAGACAGUUCGGUCCCUAUCUACCGUGGGCGCUGGAAAUUUGAGAGGAUCUGCUCCUAGUACGAGAGGACCAGAGUGGACGAACCUCUGGUGUACCGGUUGUGACGCCAGUCGCAUCGCCGGGUAGCUAUGUUCGGAAGGGAUAACCGCUGAAAGCAUCUAAGCGGGAAGCCUACCUCAAGAUAAGAUUUCCCUAGGACUUUAUGUCCUCUAAAGAGCCGUUCGAGACUAGGACGUUGAUAGGUUGGAUGUGGAAGCAUAGUGAUAUGUGAAGCUGACCAAUACUAAUUGCUCGUGAGGCUUGACUA
rnacentral:rRNA from 1 species